GCCUUGCUGACGAGUGCUAACUAGGACGAAACCUGGGUCCAAGGC
rnacentral:hammerhead_ribozyme from 1 species